CCUCAAAUCAGGUAGA
rnacentral:rRNA from 1 species